rnacentral:rRNA from 1 species
CGCCAGACUCCUACGGGAGGCAGCAGUGGGGGAUAUUGCACAAUGGGGGAAACCCUGAUGCAGCGACGCCGCGUGGGCGAAGAAGUAUUUCGGUAUGUAUAGCCCUAUCAGCAGGGAAGAAGAAAUGACGGUACCUGAGUAAGAAGCACCGGCUAAAUACGUGCCAGCAGCCGCGGCAAUACGUAUGGUGCAAGCGUUAUCCGGAUUUACUGGGUGUAAAGGGAGCGCAGGCGGCACGGCAAGCCUGAUGUGAAAGCCCGCGGCCCAACCGCGGGACUGCAUUGGGAACUACCGGGCUGGAGUGCCGGAGAGGUAGGCGGAAUUCCUAGUGUAGCGGUGAAAUGCGUAGAUAUUAGGAGGAACACCAGUGGCGAAGGCGGCCCGCUGGACGAUGACUGACGUUGAGGCUCGAAAGCGUGGGGAGCAAACAGGAUUAGAUACCCGCGUACCC